UUGCAUUGCAAACGCCCCUCUCCAUCAAAACAAGAGCUACUUUGAGUUCAAGAUUCAGUCCACAGGUGUCUGGGGAGUAGGAGUGGCAACACAGAAAGCAAAUCUGAAUCAGAUCCCUAUGGGUAGAGACCCACGCAGCCUUGUGCUCCGGCAAGAUGGCACCGUGUACCACAACAAUGAAGAAAAGAACCGAUUACCUGCAAACAGCUUACCGCAGGAAGGAGACAUUGUGGGUGUUACGUAUGACCAUGUGGAGCUGAAUUUGU